rnacentral:rRNA from 1 species
AUGUCCAGUACUCACAAGGUUUGCCUCUUUAUGUUGUACCUGACAAGGGACGAAAAGCCACAAAAGCCACUAAAGGUGAGCCUCGGGAUGCCGAGCUCCCUUGCGAUGUCACCGGUCCACCAGUGCGCCAUGUCAGAUAUGAUGCAGCUAGGAGGCGAGCGCUGCUGCUCACGGAGGUACGCCAUGAGCGGCUCAUGCAGCAUGGCACAUGCCUUCAUGAAGUUAAAGAACACAUUCUUUGAUUGGAUCAUGUCGAGGUUCUCGCACCCAUCUGGUAGGCCGAACUCUACACUCGGGAAGUGGAGCUCCACGAGCUGA